rnacentral:rRNA from 1 species
CGAAAGCGAGUCUGAACAGGGCGGCCAGUCAGUGGUUGUAGACGCGAAACCUUGCGAUCUACCCUUGAGCAGGAUGAAGGUCGGGUAACACCGACUGGAGGUCCGAACGAAUAAGCGUUGAAAAGCUUCUCGAUGACUUGAGGGUAGGGGUGAAAGGCUAAUCAAGCUGGGAAAUAGCUCGUACUCCCCGAAAUGCCUUUAGGGGCAGCGUUGUAAUUAAGAGUCUACUGGAGGUAGAGCUACUGAUUGGAUGCGGGGGCUUCACCGCCUACCAAAUCCUGACAAACUCCGAAUGCCAGUAGUAUGAUUUACAGCAGUGAGCGACCGGGUGCUAAUGUCCGGUUACGAGAGUGGAACAACACAGACCAGCAACUAAGGUCCCCAAGAGUAUACUAAGUUGAUCUAACGAUGUUUUGCUGCAGAGACAGCUAGGAUGUUAGCUUGGAAGCAGCUAUUCAUUCAAAGAGUGCGUAACAGCUCACUAGUCGAGCGGCAAAGCGUGGAUAAUAAACGGGCAUCAAGUAUACCACCGAAGUUCUGGGCACGAAAGUGCGGUAGGGGAGCAUUCCAUUCCGCGUUGAAGCCGAACCGUGAGGUUUGGUGGAGUGUAUGGAAAAGCAAAUGUAGGCAUGAGUAACGAUAAUGCGGGAGAGUAACCCGCACACCGCAAGACCAAGGUUUCCUGAUCAACGCUAAUCGGAUCAGGGUUAGUCGGGUCCUAAGGGUAAGCCGAACGGUGAUCUCGAUGGAUAAUCGGUUAAUAUUCCGAUACUGACAUAUACCUCGAUGGAGAGACGAAGGAACGUAAGUGCCGCCACCUGACGGAAUAGGUGGUUAAAGGGCUUAGGUAUAGGGACAGAUUAAGAGUUAGUCCUUGCUGAAACCUGACAGUACAGAGAGCCUACGGGCAAUUUGAUAGUGCACCCAAGUCGACUUCCGAGAAAAUCUUCUAAGUUAUAGUAUAUGUCACCCGUACCGUAAACCGACACAGGUGGUCGAGGAGAGUAUCCUAAGGUGCUCGAGUGAAUCACGGUUAAGGAACUAGGCAAAUUAACCCCGUAACUUCGGGAAAAGGGGUCCCAUCGCGAGGUGGGCGCAGCGAAGAGGUCCAGGCGACUGUUUAUCAAAAACACAGGGCUCUGCAAAUUCGAAAGAAGACGUAUAGGGCCUGACACCUGCCCGGUGCUGGAAGGUUAAGAGGGGAUGUCAUCGCAAGAGAAGCAUUGAAUCGAAGCCCCAGUAAACGGCGGCCGUAACUAUAACGGUCCUAAGGUAGCGAAAUUCCUUGUCGGGUAAGUUCCGACCUGCACGAAUGGUGUAACGAUCUGGACACUGUCUCAACCGUGAGCUCGGUGAAAUUGUAGUCCCGGUGAUGAUGCCGGGUACCCGCAACGGGACGAAAAGACCCCGUGAACCUUUACUAUAGCUUAACGCUGAAUUUGGGUACACAAUGUGUAGGAUAGGCAGGAGACUACGAAGCGGGCACGCCAGUGUUCGUGGAGUCGACGUUGAAAUACUGCCCUUUGUGUACUUGAGUUCUAACCCUCGAGAGGGGACACCGUUUGGUGGGUAGUUUGACUGGGGUGGUCGCCUCCAAAAGAGUAACGGAGGCUUCCCAAGGUACCCUCAGCACGAAUGGUAACCGUGCGUAGAGUGCAAUAGCAUAAGGGUGCUUGACUGUGAGACCAACAAGUCGAUCAGGUGCGAAAGCAGGGUAUAGUGAUCCGGUGGUUCUGCGUGGACUGGCCAUCGCUCAAAGGAUAAAAGGUACUCCGGGGAUAACAGGCUGAUCGCCGCCAAGAGCUCAUAUCGACGCGGCGGUUUGGCACCUCGAUGUCGGCUCGUCACAUCCUGGGGCUGGAGACUGUCUCUUAUACACAUCUCCGAGCCCACGAGA